rnacentral:rRNA from 1 species
UAAGCGACUAAGCGUACACGGUGGAUGCCCUGGCAGUCAGAGGCGAUGAAGGACGUGCUAAUCUGCGAUAAGCGUCGGUAAGGUGAUAUGAACCGUUAUAACCGGCGAUUUCCGAAUGGGGAAACCCAGUGUGUUUCGACACACUAUCAUUAACUGAAUCCAUAGGUUAAUGAGGCGAACCGGGGGAACUGAAACAUCUAAGUACCCCGAGGAAAAGAAAUCAACCGAGAUUCCCCCAGUAGCGGCGAGCGAACGGGGAGCAGCCCAGAGCCUGAAUCAGUGUGUGUGUUAGUGGAAGCGUCUGGAAAGGCGCGCGAUACAGGGUGACAGCCCCGUACACAAAAAUGCACAUGCUGUGAGCUCGAUGAGUAGGGCGGGACACGUGGUAUCCUGUCUGAAUAUGGGGGGACCAUCCUCCAAGGCUAAAUACUCCUGACUGACCGAUAGUGAACCAGUACCGUGAGGGAAAGGCGAAAAGAACCCCGGCGAGGGGAGUGAAAAAGAACCUGAAACCGUGUACGUACAAGCAGUGGGAGCACGCUUAGGCGUGUGACUGCGUACCUUUUGUAUAAUGGGUCAGCGACUUAUAUUCUGUAGCAAGGUUAACCGAAUAGGGGAGCCGAAGGGAAACCGAGUCUUAACUGGGCGUUAAGUUGCAGGGUAUAGACCCGAAACCCGGUGAUCUAGCCAUGGGCAGGUUGAAGGUUGGGUAACACUAACUGGAGGACCGAACCGACUAAUGUUGAAAAAUUAGCGGAUGACUUGUGGCUGGGGGUGAAAGGCCAAUCAAACCGGGAGAUAGCUGGUUCUCCCCGAAAGCUAUUUAGGUAGCGCCUCGUGAAUUCAUCUCCGGGGGUAGAGCACUGUUUCGGCAAGGGGGUCAUCCCGACUUACCAACCCGAUGCAAACUGCGAAUACCGGAGAAUGUUAUCACGGGAGACACACGGCGGGUGCUAACGUCCGUCGUGAAGAGGGAAACAACCCAGACCGCCAGCUAAGGUCCCAAAGUCAUGGUUAAGUGGGAAACGAUGUGGGAAGGCCCAGACAGCCAGGAUGUUGGCUUAGAAGCAGCCAUCAUUUAAAGAAAGCGUAAUAGCUCACUGGUCGAGUCGGCCUGCGCGGAAGAUGUAACGGGGCUAAACCAUGCACCGAAGCUGCGGCAGCGACGCUGAUGCGUUGUUGGGUAGGGGAGCGUUCUGUAAGCCUGCGAAGGUGUGCUGUGAGGCAUGCUGGAGGUAUCAGAAGUGCGAAUGCUGACAUAAGUAACGAUAAAGCGGGUGAAAAGCCCGCUCGCCGGAAGACCAAGGGUUCCUGUCCAACGUUAAUCGGGGCAGGGUGAGUCGACCCCUAAGGCGAGGCCGAAAGGCGUAGUCGAUGGGAAACAGGUUAAUAUUCCUGUACUUGGUGUUACUGCGAAGGGGGGACGGAGAAGGCUAUGUUGGCCGGGCGACGGUUGUCCCGGUUUAAGCGUGUAGGCUGGUUUUCCAGGCAAAUCCGGAAAAUCAAGGCUGAGGCGUGAUGACGAGGCACUACGGUGCUGAAGCAACAAAUGCCCUGCUUCCAGGAAAAGCCUCUAAGCAUCAGGUAACAUCAAAUCGUACCCCAAACCGACACAGGUGGUCAGGUAGAGAAUACCAAGGCGCUUGAGAGAACUCGGGUGAAGGAACUAGGCAAAAUGGUGCCGUAACUUCGGGAGAAGGCACGCUGAUAUGUAGGUGAAGUCCCUCGCGGAUGGAGCUGAAAUCAGUCGAAGAUACCAGCUGGCUGCAACUGUUUAUUAAAAACACAGCACUGUGCAAACACGAAAGUGGACGUAUACGGUGUGACGCCUGCCCGGUGCCGGAAGGUUAAUUGAUGGGGUUAGCGCAAGCGAAGCUCUUGAUCGAAGCCCCGGUAAACGGCGGCCGUAACUAUAACGGUCCUAAGGUAGCGAAAUUCCUUGUCGGGUAAGUUCCGACCUGCACGAAUGGCGUAAUGAUGGCCAGGCUGUCUCCACCCGAGACUCAGUGAAAUUGAACUCGCUGUGAAGAUGCAGUGUACCCGCGGCAAGACGGAAAGACCCCGUGAACCUUUACUAUAGCUUGACACUGAACAUUGAGCCUUGAUGUGUAGGAUAGGUGGGAGGCUUUGAAGUGUGGACGCCAGUCUGCAUGGAGCCGACCUUGAAAUACCACCCUUUAAUGUUUGAUGUUCUAACGUGGACCCGUAAUCCGGGUUGCGGACAGUGUCUGGUGGGUAGUUUGACUGGGGCGGUCUCCUCCUAAAGAGUAACGGAGGAGCACGAAGGUUGGCUAAUCCUGGUCGGACAUCAGGAGGUUAGUGCAAUGGCAUAAGCCAGCUUGACUGCGAGCGUGACGGCGCGAGCAGGUGCGAAAGCAGGUCAUAGUGAUCCGGUGGUUCUGAAUGGAAGGGCCAUCGCUCAACGGAUAAAAGGUACUCCGGGGAUAACAGGCUGAUACCGCCCAAGAGUUCAUAUCGACGGCGGUGUUUGGCACCUCGAUGUCGGCUCAUCACAUCCUGGGGCUGAAGUAGGUCCCAAGGGUAUGGCUGUUCGCCAUUUAAAGUGGUACGCGAGCUGGGUUUAGAACGUCGUGAGACAGUUCGGUCCCUAUCUGCCGUGGGCGCUGGAGAACUGAGGGGGGCUGCUCCUAGUACGAGAGGACCGGAGUGGACGCAUCACUGGUGUUCGGGUUGUCAUGCCAAUGGCACUGCCCGGUAGCUAAAUGCGGAAGAGAUAAGUGCUGAAAGCAUCUAAGCACGAAACUUGCCCCGAGAUGAGUUCUCCCUGACCCUUUAAGGGUCCUGAAGGAACGUUGAAGACGACGACGUUGAUAGGCCGGGUGUGUAAGCGCAGCGAUGCGUUGAGCUAACCGGUACUAAUGAACCGUGAGGCUUAACCU